rnacentral:lncRNA from 1 species
GAGAGUACAAAGUGCUAAGUUUAGCUACAAAAGAUACCUUCAAGACGGUGAGGCAAUGAACGACCGAGAAGUUGACAAGUAAUAAACAAUGCUAGUUCUGACUUUAGUCCAGAUCGUCUAUUUGUAGGUGCACCGGUCUUGUAAUAAAGUAGUGGUGAGCAUCAUAAACAUUCAUCACUCCCCCUCAGGGAAUCCACCCUAGCUAGGUUUGAAAAUAGUAUACAACACUAUAUAUACUAUAGGAAAAUGAUUGAUGCACAACAAAAGCUUUAGUUUCGAAAAUAGAUUGUAUGCUCACAUAAUUUCCUUUUAAAAAGAAAACAGGGAUCCCUAUUAAUCGCUACAUGCCUGAUGACUGGUCUAAUGACCAAUUACCCCCUUACUUAGACCAACUCCAAACAAACAUACUUACAGUGAGGUGUAGCGAGAGUGUCCUUUAAUGUCCUACCCUUAGAUAUCCAAGUACCUCUCCUAGAAAGGUAGCAGUACUAAUCCCUUUGUAGUAGCGCCUCCGGAGGUUUAGGGGAUCGAAACCAAAGGCGGUCGCUAUGCCCCCUUCACUCUCAAGUCAUCACUUUAAUUUGUAGCAUAAAACAACAUGCAUGUCAUGAUAUAAAACAAAACCAUUUACAUAUACAUACAUGCACAAAAUUCCAUAACUAGGGUAAGUGAGGAUCCCCCUACCUGGUCUCCAAGCCAAGCAAGCAAUAUUCCUCACCAAUACCUCGAUCAAAUGCAAGCACCGUGAGUAAUUAGAGUCCCUAGUUCAACAAUUACAGUAUGUCACUAUAUGUCCAUCUAUAAUGACUAAACUUUAUUCCCAUAACAACAACUAUUUUCGUAGUUCAAUCCCUGGUAUGAAACCAGGGGCUUUGAGGUUUGUUUUCCUAGAAAUUCAACAUAUCUUUCAAGCCAAAACACAAUCCAUCAAUAUUACAACUCACUUCUUCCAUACAAAUGUCCUUUAAAGACCAAAUUUGAUGAAUUUUGAGUCAAACAUCAUAUUUCUCUAAAUCUCAUCCAUAUAAAACUUGUACAAAAUCCCAGAAAUCUGAUCAUAUAUAAAUCUUUACCUUAAUGUCUUAGAAAUCGUUGUCCAGUCAUCAAAUAGGCUUCAAAGCCCUCAAAUCGUGCAAGAACAAGCUUGAAUCGAACAUUUAAACCUAAUUAGUCAUAAACCCAAUUUGAACGAAUUAUUCAAACCUAAAUAAUAAUUUCUCAAAAUUUACCUUAGAACGUUAAGUUCGAUUCACUGAACAUGUAGGCGAAAACCGCUCUUCAAUCGGAAUCCCCGAUUGAAAGUUACAAAUUUCAAAAGAUUAAUAGAAAUUUUCUUCUCUGCAAAGGCAUAACAUGCAUGCUUGCAUGUAACCAUGUAUCUCACCACAUGGUCCAACCCAUGCACCUGUUGGUAACCAAAACCAAAGGAAUGAAGUCCCUAUUUAUAGGGGAAAAGGUGGCUACCAAUGUAACUCGAUUGGAUGGUGUGACGGCAAGGAUAAAACCAAUGGACCUAUCUAGUUCUUCAACAAGCUCCUGCGUGUAGGUUUGGGAGAAACUUAUUCCAUGCAUGCAACACGUAUUAGUCAUCAGCAUGCCAUGCAAAGUUGACAACAAUGCUUCUUGAUAAUUCUUAUAAAUUAGCAACAUGGUGGAGCUUAUCAAUAUAUAACCAUGAAUAAGCUACUAGGUUCUCUUACGGAAGGUGGCUAUCAAAUUGAUCUACACGUGGCUAAUUCCAUCACUUGUGGGCCAUGUGUCCCUUAAUCAUUGAUCCAACAUGUAAAUCACCUUAAAAAUUGGUCUUAGUUCUAAAAGGUAAUCCGAAAAAUGCUACGAACUCUUAAUGACGUCCACUUUCAUCUUUUUACCCCAAAAUAAUCUUGGAACUUGAUGCGAAAUAUAUAAGCACACAAAUUAAACCCUCUUUUUAUCAAUUGUAGCAAAAUAUGUAAGUGGGGAUCGUUCUAGACCGGGGAUUAGGAGGGAUUGCUAAAUCACUUGAAAACUGACUCAAAUACGUAAAAACAAGUUUAAAACACUAAACUAGACUCAAAGAAUGCAAAACUAAACUUUAAAACACCAAAACAAACCAAAACACUCAAAACAGCAAACAAACACUCAAAACUGCCUUAAAAACACUCUGGGCAGUUUUGACACCUAACACUAAAUUGGACGAAAUUGGGUUAUAACUUGACUCAAGACCCUUAAAAACACAAACUAAAUUAAUUUCUACUUAAUCUAGCACUUUAAAAUAAAUGGGGAAUUGGUUUUGACGAAAAUUGAAAACAAAAACAAAACUUGUAAAUUGAACAGAUUCUAAAACGAAUUUGAGAAAAGUGAAUGGAUGGAAAGCUAGCUAAGGGGUUCUUCUCCACACAUGUCACACUUGCAUACAAAAUGAUUUCCAAUUGCUUUUCAAUAAACCAUGAAUUCCCAACACCCCAGAUUAACCGUGAAUUGCACUAAUUAACCCUCAGAUUUUCCUUAAGUUA